UGAACGCUGGCGGCAGGCCUAACACAUGCAAGUCGAGCGGUAACAGGGAGUAGCUUGCUACUCCGCUGACGAGCGGCGGACGGGUGAGUAAUGUCUGGGGAUCUGCCUGAUGGAGGGGGAUAACUACUGGAAACGGUAGCUAAUACCGCAUAACGUCGCAAGACCAAAGAGGGGGACCUUCGGGCCUCUUGCCAUCGGAUGAACCCAGAUGGGAUUAGCUAGUAGGUGGGGUAAUGGCUCACCUAGGCGACGAUCCCUAGCUGGUCUGAGAGGAUGACCAGCCACACUGGAACUGAGACACGGUCCAGACUCCUACGGGAGGCAGCAGUGGGGAAUAUUGCACAAUGGGCGCAAGCCUGAUGCAGCCAUGCCGCGUGUGUGAAGAAGGCCUUCGGGUUGUAAAGCACUUUCAGCGAGGAGGAAGGCAUUAAGGUUAAUAACCUUGGUGAUUGACGUUACUCGCAGAAGAAGCACCGGCUAACUCCGUGCCAGCAGCCGCGGUAAUACGGAGGGUGCAAGCGUUAAUCGGAAUUACUGGGCGUAAAGCGCACGCAGGCGGUUUGUUAAGUCGGAUGUGAAAUCCCCGGGCUCAACCUGGGAACUGCAUUCGAAACUGGCAAGCUUGAGUCUUGUAGAGGGGGGUAGAAUUCCAGGUGUAGCGGUGAAAUGCGUAGAGAUCUGGAGGAAUACCGGUGGCGAAGGCGGCCCCCUGGACAAAGACUGACGC
rnacentral:rRNA from 1 species